CGGGACGGGUGAGUAAUGUCUGGGAAACUGCCUGAUGGAGGGGGAUAACUACUGGAAACGGUAGCUAAUACCGCAUAACGUCGCAAGACCAAAGAGGGGGACCUUCGGGCCUCUUGCCAUCGGAUGUGCCCAGAUGGGAUUAGCUAGUAGGUGGGGUAACGGCUCACCUAGGCGACGAUCCCUAGCUGGUCUGAGAGGAUGACCAGCCACACUGGAACUGAGACGCGGUCCAG
rnacentral:rRNA from 1 species